rnacentral:rRNA from 1 species
GAUGAACGCUGGCGGCGUGCCUAAUACAUGCAAGUCGAGCGAAGCGGGGACGGGUGAGUAACACGUGGAUAACCUCCUAUAAGACUGGGAUAAAUUAGGGAAACCGGAGCCAAACCCGAUACUUAUAGAUGGAUCUGCGCUGCAUUAGCUAGUUGGGAAGGUAACGGCUUACAAAGGCAACGAUGCAGAGCCGAACUGAGAGGUGGACCGGCCAAACUGGAACUGAGACACGGUCCAGACUCCUACGGGAGGCAGCAGUAGGGAAGCUUCCGCAAUGGGCGAAAGCCUGACGGAGCAACGCCGCGUGAGUGAUGAAGGUCUUCGGGUCGUAAAGCUCUGUUAUUAGGGAAGCGGUACCUAAUCAGAAAGCCACGGCUAACUAGGGGCAAGCAGACGCGGUAAUAC